GAUGAACGCUGGCGGCGUGCCUAAUACAUGCAAGUCGAGCGAACAGACGAGGAGCUUGCUCCUCUGACGUUAGCGGCGGACGGGUGAGUAACACGUGGAUAACCUACCUAUAAGACUGGGAUAACUUCGGGAAACCGGAGCUAAUACCGGAUAAUAUAUUGAACCGCAUGGUUCAAUAGUGAAAGACGGUUUUACUGUCACUUAUAGAUGGAUCCGCGCCGCAUUAGCUAGUUGGUAAGGUAACGGCUUACCAAGGCAACGAUGCGUAGCCGACCUGAGAGGGUGAUCGGCCACACUGGAACUGAGACACGGUCCAGACUCCUACGGGAGGCAGCAGUAGGGAAUCUUCCGCAAUGGGCGAAAGCCUGACGGAGCAACGCCGCGUGAGUGAUGAAGGUCUUCGGAUCGUAAAACUCUGUUAUUAGGGAAGAACAAAUGUGUAAGUAACUAUGCACGUCUUGACGGUACCUAAUCAGAAAGCCACGGCUAACUACGUG
rnacentral:rRNA from 1 species